rnacentral:rRNA from 1 species
UACGUAGGGGGCAAGCGUUGUCCGGAUUUAUUGGGCGUAAAGAGCGUGUAGGCGGUUUGGUAGGUCCGCUGUGAAAACUCGAGGCUCAACCUCGAGACGCCGGUGGAAACCAUCAGACUAGAGUCCGGAAGAGGAGAGUGGAAUUCCUGGUGUAGCGGUGAAAUGCGCAGAUAUCAGGAGGAACACCGGUGGCGAAGGCGGCUCACUGGUCCGGAACUGACGCUGAGGCACGACAGCGUGGGGAGCAAACAGG